rnacentral:rRNA from 1 species
GUGUCAGCAGCCGCGGUAAUACAGAGGGUGCAAGCGUUAAUCGGAAUUACUGGGCGUAAAGGGCGCGUAGGCGGAGUAUUAAGUUAGAUGUGAAAUCCCUGGGCUUAACCUGGGAAUGGCAUUUAAUACUGAUAAUCUAGAGUAGAGUAGAGGGAAGUGGAAUUUCCGGUGUAGCGGUGAAAUGCGUAGAGAUCGGAAAGAACACCAGUGGCGAAGGCGGCUCACUGGACCGGUUCUGACGCUGAUGCGCGAAAGCGUGGGGAGCAAACGGGAUUAGAUACCCGGGUAGUCC